rnacentral:rRNA from 1 species
AACGAACGCUGGCGGCAGGCCUAACACAUGCAAGUCGAGCGAGAUCUUCGGGUCUAGCGGCGGACGGGUGAGUAACGCGUGGGAAUAUGCCCCUUGGUACGGAAUAGCCUCGGGAAACUGGGAGUAAUACCGUAUGUGCCCUUUGGGGGAAAGAUUUAUCGCCAAGCGAUUAGCCCGCGUUGGAUUAGGUAGUUGGUGGGGUAAUGGCCUACCAAGCCGACGAUCCAUAGCUGGUUUGAGAGGAUGAUCAGCCACACUGGGACUGAGACACGGCCCAGACUCCUACGGGAGGCAGCAGUGGGGAAUCUUAGACAAUGGGGGCAACCCUGAUCUAGCCAUGCCGCGUGAGUGAUGAAGGCCUUAGGGUUGUAAAGCUCUUUCAGCUGUGAAGAUAAUGACGGUACCAGCAGAAGAAGCCCCGGCUAACUCCGUG